rnacentral:rRNA from 1 species
UACGGAGGAUGCGAGCGUUAUCCGGAUUUAUUGGGUUUAAAGGGUGCGCAGGCGGCACGGCAAGCCGGCGGUCAAAUCGCGGGGCUCAACCCCGCCCAGCCGUCGGAAUUGCCGGGCUAGAGUGGGCGAGAAGUGCGCGGAAUGCGUGGUGUAGCGGUGAAAUGCAUAGAUAUCACGCAGAACUCCGAUUGCGAAGGCAGCGCACCGGCGCCCUACUGACGCUCAGGCACGAAAGCGUGGGUAUCGAACAGG